rnacentral:snRNA from 1 species
UUGCUUUGGUAGCACACAUACUAAAAUUGAAAUGAUACAGAGCAAAUUAGCAUGGCUCCUGCACAAGGAUGACACUUAAAUUCAUGAAGCAUUUCAUAUUUUG